CUAUUUCCUGGUAGUUUUCUUUAAAAGAAUGGUGUUGAGAUCUCCUUUGAACUAGACAGAGUAGUCUCACUAUGUGGUUCAGGCUGGCCUUCAACUCUCUACAAUCCUCCUGCCUCUGCCUCCUGAAUACUGGUAUUACAGGCAAGUGCCACCACACCCAGCCUGAAUCUGUCUUAAUGGGGCACAAUGAUAAGAAAAGUACACAGUCCCCGACUUCUGGUGACCUCAGUCUAGUGAGGAAGAGACAGUGACCACGUGAAUGAAGCAGAGAUCAUAACUGCGGCUAUGAGAAGCGCUGUAAAGGAAGUGAAGGCUGCGAUGAAAACAUAGGGCCUGAGGAGGGGCCUCCGGGAGCGCCUGCAACACAGGGAUCCUGUGGGACAUUGGCACCCCAGCAGCACACUGGAAUAAAAAGGUUAUGGAGGCUGCCACAA